rnacentral:rRNA from 1 species
UACGUAGGGACCGAGCGUUGUCCGGAAUCAUUGGGCGUAAAGAGCGUGUAGGCGGCCACUUAAGUCCUGCGUGAAAUCUUGCGGCUCAACCGCAAGCGGUCGUGGGAAACUGGGUGGCUAGAAUGCGGGAGAGGAGAGUGGAAUUCCUGGUGUAGCGGUGGAAUGCGCAGAUAUCAGGAAGAACACCCGUGGCGAAGGCGGCUCUCUGGGACGGUACUGACGCUGAGACGCGAAAGCGUGGGGAGCGAACAGG